UUCAUGUCAACGUGUCCAAUAUCAAGAUCUCAAACAAAUUACAGAGAUCGCAGAAGAAAGCAACAUGUCUGUUGGAAAGGAUAUGGAAUAAGAAUUUGCAUAUGCCAAUAUGAUGAUUAUCCCUUUCCCUAUUAUAAAUAUGCAGACAUGUACUGGUGCAGUCUGCAACUAGCUUCCGCAUACACACUGCAUGCUUAUUUAAUUUCUUUGGUCAAUUUCUUAGUUGCAAUGGUGAGUGUCAAUAGCAAACAGUUACUUGCUGCUUCCAAGUUGGUUUUUAAAAAGGAGGAGGAGCUGUCCAAGACACAGUUUCAUGUUCACCGGAAGAAUGAUUGGGAUGAUGAUGACGACGACGACGACGAUGAUGCGGGCAGUGUUGCACCAGCUGCAUAGCUAUAUAUAUAUAUGUUUAUUGGCAUUGAGAGAAUUUGAGGCACUUCCCAGCCUCUUCGGAGUGAGCUUUGACACACUAGUUGAACAAUGUUGAGCUUUGGCACUAGUUGUGUCUCAGUUAAAGACUGUUUUUUGUUUUUAAGGAGUUUCAAAUCGAGUACUAUUAGAACAAAAGAGAAAAACAAGUUUCUCGACUCUCUCUGCUAGCUUGUCUUGUUUUGAAUAGUACGUUGACUGAAUGUUAAUCUAAGCUUAAAGUUCAUUACAAAAUCCGAAGUUA